UGUGUGUGUGUGUGUGUGCGCGCGCACGCAUGCGAGUAUGAGUGUGUGUGCGCAUAAACACACACACACACACC